AAACCUACGGGACGCAGCAGUGGGGAAUAUUGCGCAAUGGGCGAAAGCCUGACGCAGCGACGCCGCGUGAGGGAUGAAGGUCUUCGGAUCGUAAACCUCUGUCAGCAGGGAAGAACGGUCACUGUGCUAAUCAGCAGUGAAUUGACGGUACCUGCAAAGGAAGCACCGGCUAACUCCGUGCCAGCAGCCGCGGUAAUACGGAGGGUGCGAGCGCUAAUCGGAAUUACUGGGCGUAAAGCGCUCGUAGGCGGUAUGUCAAGGCAAGGGUGAAAUCCCCGCGCUCAAAGUUGGAA
rnacentral:rRNA from 1 species